UUUCUUCUUCUUUAUUCUUCGUUCUUCUUUUUCUUCUUCUCUUUCAUUCUUCUCUUAUUCCUCUUCUUCUGCGAGUUCGAGUGAUGAAUUUGAGAGCACGUUUGAGAGUUCUUGAUUGAUUAAACUAUUCUGAUGGUGAAGGAUGUGUUGUUAAUCUUGUGAUCAUUUGAGCUCGUGAGAAGAAGGAGUGGAUGCUGCUGUAAAUCGAAGAUAUGAUUUAUGAAGUUAGAGUUAGUGUGGAAUUGAGAUGUGAAUCGUGUUGCUGAUAGAUGAAUAAGAAGAGGGUUGUUGUUUAAUUGCCGUUUUUGAGUUGUUCUGAUGGUAAAUCAAAGUUACGGUUUUCGUAAGAAGUUCAAGGAAGAAUUAGAAGAUGAAGAUGAUGUAAAGGGGAUAGAAUUAAUGAUGGGUUUGUUCCUAAUUAAAGUAUAGCUGGAUGUAGUGAAGUUAAUUUGAUGUUGGAGUUGUUCAGAGGGAAAAAAUUAAGGAAUUAGGGUUUCAUACUGGUUUUGAGUUCGAGUGGAAAUGCAAGGUUUAUUGAGUUACAAAUAGAUGAAGAACAAAAGAACUAUUGUUUAAUUAAGGUGGUGGAGCUGUUUUGGUGGUGAAUUGAAGAAUUGGGGUUCGAUUCUAUUUUAGUGAAGAUUAUUGAGAAUUGGAAGUAAUGAUGAAGUUUGUAGAGUAAUGAUGAAGUUUCGAAGAAAAAGAUUAUUGAGAUUUGUAUGAGGAAAUUGAGAUGAUUUCUAAGUCAGGUCAGAGUAAAGAGGAAUCUAAUUCAAUUGCUUGAGUUGGAUUGGUUUAAGAUGUUGUUUGAAUGGAGAUUACAUGCAGUAGUGGUGUUAUUGUUGCUGUUGUGUGUUGGGUUGAAGAUGUAGAUAAGAGGAAUUGAAUUGCAGGUGAAGUCUAUGGUGUUGUGUUGAGUUGCAGUUGAUGUGUAUGAAGGUGACUGUGUAUUGUUGAAGAUGAGGUGUUGAAGUCAGUUAUUAAAAAGAAUGAGAGUUGGACUGUUGCGGACAAUGGUGGCCUAAUAGAUUCCAGGAUGUUGAGAUUGGAUAGUGGUGCAGGCAGUGUAUGUUUUGAGACGAACUCAAAAUGAUGUAAGAACUGAGGGUAUUGGAGUUGCAGGUCGUAAGGAAAGUGAAAUGGCAGAACUUGCAGAGAAGAGUGGAGUUAAUGAUGAACUGUAGAUGUGUUUGCAGUUAUGUUUAGUUGUUACAUGAUAGGUAGGGAUUGUAACUGAAGUAUUGGAAUGAUGGAUUAGGUGAUUGUAUGAAGUUGAACCUCUCUUGUAGAAACUUGGAAAAGCUGCAAUUGCAGGUAGGCAUAGUUUGUGAUUGUAUUUGAAAUUGAAGUUUGUUUAAGUUAAAUGUAUUGUUAUUGAGUUAUAGUUAAGAGUUUUGGUGUUGCA